rnacentral:rRNA from 1 species
UACAGAGGUCCCAAGCGUUGUUCGGAUUCACUGGGCGUAAAGGGUGCGUAGGUGGCGAGGUAAGUUUGAUGUGAAAUCUCCGAGCUCAACUCGGAAACUGCAUUGAAUACUAUCUUGCUAGAGGGUUGGAGGGGAGACUGGAAUUCUCGGUGUAGCAGUGAAAUGCGUAGAUAUCGAGAGGAACACCAGUGGCGAAGGCGGCAUCCUGGACCGGCAUUGACGCUGAGGAGCGAAAGCCCAGGGGAGCAAACGGG